rnacentral:rRNA from 1 species
GACAGAGGGGGCAAGCGUUGCUCGGAAUCACUGGGCGUAAAGGGCUCGUAGGCGGCCAACUAAGUCAGACGUGAAAUCCCCAGGCUCAACCUGGGAACUGCGUCUGAUACUGGAUGGCUUGAAUUCGGGAGAGGGAUGCAGAAUUCCAGGUGUAGCGGUGAAAUGCGUAGAUAUCUGGAGGAAUACCGGUGGCGAAGGCGGCAUCCUGGACCGACAUUGACGCUGAGGAGCGAAAGCUAGGGGAGCAAACGGG